AACACCGAAGAGUAGAAAGCCUUAUUGGUGGUUUGGCAGUGAGAGCAGAAAUCCAUCUGGCUGGAUUAAAGGCUGGACAGAUCCAACACAAAUGGCGCAAUAUGUGCAAAACCAUGUGUCAUCAGCGGCCGAUGCCAGCAUUGGGGUGGCAAAUUGGUGUCUUUGGGGCCUCAUAACUGAGAUACAACAAAUAAUAGAAAUGCAGCGAAGGGCUUGAACCCAUGAUGCUGCUGUAAUGACGCACUCGACCAGGGGGAUUAGAGUGGCACAGCUCGGGAGUCAAAAGAAAUGGGAAAAUGAGGAAGAAAAGGUGCCAAACAUGAAGAGACCACCAGUGGAAUCGAGCUAAAUUGGAAAAAGGCCCGUGUGAAAGAAUUACUCACUACUUCAGAGCCUCAAGGAAGCAAUGAGCCUUGUCCUUUAAAUUACUGCAAGACGCCAGUGUUGACUAAACUGCAAUCAUCUACCAUAAAUCAUUAAUGCAACAAUAGGGACGAGUUAAAUAACAACAGCAUCUACAUUGUACGUUUGUCUGUGAGUUACAUUUUAAUCUAGAGGAUAAUUUAGUGAUAAAAAUAUCUUUUACCAUAGAUUGUUCUUUGGUUACUUGGUGUCUUUUUUCUCCAGUUUCUGAUUAUUUUCUCAGUAAAGCCAAAGUCUCCUUAUUUAAAGAUCCCUCACAUUUCAUGACUAUAACCACUGACGUCUGUCAACAACCACUAAUGCUAACCAGCUACAACACAGCACAUUAAAUAACUUAUUAUCAAAACAAAUGACAACAAUUACAAUAAAUAAACGAUGAAACUAAUUUCCAACACAUCACAGAUGUGGAGAUAAGACCGAGCAGUUACACGUCUAAUAGAUUAUUCGGAAACUAGUCAUU